CAUGUCUUCCUCGUCCGAUGAUGAAGAUGCGGUUGCCUUGCUGCAAAUUCUCAAUAUGCAGAGGCACAGGAGAUAUUGGGUCCACCCUGUGCGAAAAUUAUCCGAACAUUAUAGAUAUUUCAAAACCAUGGAAAAGUUGCAUGAAUAUCCGGAUCUUUUUCGUACAGUUUAUAAAAUGUCACCAGAAUGUUUUCAUAUAAUAUUGUCGAAAGUGAAACACGGUCUUCAGAAACAGCAUACACGUUGGAGAGAACCCGUCAGUGCGGAAGAAAGGCUAUUGAUAACAUUAAGAUAUUAUGCGGAUGGAUGUUCAUUUAAAUCACUAUCUACAUAUGUUUCGAGAGGCAGCAGUACAGUGCAAAAAAUUGUACAUGAAACUUCACGUGUACUGUGGCAAUAUUUACAGCCAGAAUAUAUGCCAAUACCUACAAAAGAAAAAUGGCUUGAAGUUGCUGAACGUUUUUAUGCUUUGUGGAAUUUACCAAAUUGCAUAGGAAGUGCCGACGGAAAGCAUGUGAGAAUUAAAGCACCGAUGAAGUCGGGCUCAUCGUAUAUCAAUUAUAAAGGAUUCUUUUCUAUUGUAUUGCUAGGAGUUGUAGAUGCAGAUGGCCUGUUUUUAACGAUAGAUGUCGGUGAAUACGGCCGGAACAGUGACGGGCGUGCACUGCAAACGAAGCUUUUCCACUUAAGAAAAACAUAAUGAAACCGUACGGCCGAAAUCAGUUAACAAAUGAAAGAAGAGUAUUUAAUAACAGAUUGACAAGGGCACGAAAAUCAGUGGAAUGUGCAUUUGGUAUGAUUAGGUCAAAGUUUUGCGCACUUAGCACAUCUAUUUGCUGCGACCCAGGAAAUGUCGAUAACAUUAUAAAAGCUAUGUGUGUACUACAUAAUGUUAUCCGCAGAUGUGACGGGAAAUUCUCAGAGCCACGUUACAUAAAUCGUUUAAUAGGUACAAACAUUAACGAUCAACGAACACUGGAAAACCCAAAAGAUAUGAGAGAAUAUCUUACAACAUACUUUAUAACUCGA